GUCAUUGCCAACAAAUCUUAAUAAUGUUAACCUCCCCCAUAUACAUAACAUACCCCUAGCAAUGACCCCACAAUAAUAACAAUAGAUAACAAUCUAAAUAACAUGUUAACACAGAAACUGGCCGUCCAAUUUGACCACAUUUCCACCAGGUUAAAUUGUAGGGGUGUACCGAGACACCGCUACCCACCAUAUCGAUUGUAGGGGUGUACCAAGACACCGCUACCCACCAUAUCCAUUGUAGGGGUGUACCAAGACACCGCUACCCACCAUAUCCAUUGUAGGGGUGUACCAAGACACCGCUACCCACCAUAUCCAUUGUAGGGGUGUACCGAGACACUGCUACCCACCAUAUCAAUUGUAGGGGUGUACCAAGACACUGCUACCCACCAGUUCCAGUGUAGGGUGUACCAAGACACCACCACACCCCCAGGUUCGGAGCCACCGACGGGCUCGAACCUACCAACCACGUGCAACACUGCCCAAUCCACACUAAACCUCAGGAUGCCCACUUUCUCCUCC